rnacentral:lncRNA from 1 species
UUCUUGGAACAAAAACUGGAGCAUUAUGGUUCAAGUUGCUGUUUGGACUUGCUGCAGGUGGCAGAAUUGCACGACAAUUCAUUUUUGCAGGGUUCCCUUGAGAUUUUGGCUUGAAUGGAGCAUCAAUGUCCUCUCAUGCACUAUCGUGAUCAAGCUCUUGGUCGUCUUAUGCAGAUGAAAAACCAACAUGUUCUUCACCCCAACCCUCCUCAUCAUGAAAAUCUCGUUGGUCUAUCCACAGUUUCGAUUUAACGACCAUGUACCUCAUGUUAGCUUGAUUGACUACUUUGUUAUUUCUAGUGGAGAUUGAUGGUUCCCAUAAUCUUUGAUAAUUUUCUCCACAUGUGGACUGGAGAAAGGAAUGGUUGGAGAAUUUUGAUCAUUGGCCUGCAUUUGCGUAUUUUGAUCAUUAGCAUGAGCUUUAUUCAAUGCCGCUGUAGUCGAUAAGCGUUUUUAUUAUAACUCUCAACCAUCUGCAA